CUAAAAAUAAAUAAAUAAAAUCUUAAAAAAAAGAGUUUCUUUCAUUGAGAAAGUGCUUUCUUUUAGGAAGUCAUGUACAGGAGAUUCUACAAGAUAUCUUUAAAGGCGAAGUGAACAUAACGCAUCUUCCACAAAAUAUACAAACUAAUGACGAGGCUAUUCAUAUAUCUUCUUUGGAAAAAAUGGGUAUUUCCUCCAUGUUCUACAUACAAGUUAUUAGAGGUUAACUUUAUAAUUUAGUCUUUAAGUAACAGUAUUCAGUGGGGCUGAGAAUGAAUUUGAAGAGAAACUAAUAAAGCCGGCCAUGGACACGAUGAGUACUGGGACUGACUGUGUGACUCCUCAGUUCAGGGACAGAGCAAGAACUUCUUCACGUGUGCGAGGGACAGCUGGCGCUGGCUGGUAAGGGCACAGAGCUGUCUCAGGACUACACGGAGGUUCAAAUGUGUGUAGAGCGUGCAUAAAGAGGCUGAGUAGCCAACGGAGUGGGCUGUGCCAGUUAAUCAGUUGUUGUCUCUUAGCACCACAGCUAUUGUUUUCGGCCCUGCUUUGUGAACUGGAGCUGGACAUUGCAAACAUUUUCCCUUUGCCAGCAGGCACAAUGAAUAGUAGGCUGCGUCAACAAAAGUUGCGGGAGGGACACUGCAAGGCCUAGCAGGGCCUUGCAGUUUCCUGUGUGAUUUUUCCCCCAGUGGCUGUGGUUGCCGGCAGUGUGUGUGAGACCCAAUGUCAUUCACCCUCAAGUGUUUUACCGGCACCUCAAUGGGAAGACUCCUGCGGGACAGUUUUAGUCUGCCAGCACUCCAGCAGGUGUCCUCCUGCACUCCAGCACCAACCCAUGCACCCCUGAGAACUUCACUGGAACCCCAGCAGACGGCUUCUUGUGGACCAGUUCCGGUCUGUGACACCAGAGCAAACCCAUGGUCUGGUAGGCUGCAGCCACAUGCUCUCCAGGGAGGUCUAAUGUCAGCCUCGAGCACCCUCUUCCAAAGAAGUAAAAAACAGGUAAAAACAAGAGGAUAUGCACAGCUUGAUCAUUCCAAAACUCUCAGAGAAAGCUUCCUUCCUUCCUCACAGAGAAAACUGAGGACAGAAGAGAGAGCUCCAUAUGGGAAAAGAAACUGAAAAAGAGACAUUGAUCUUUUCAUUAUCACUGUUCCUGGUUUUUGUCUCACUCCUUUAUUGCCACUGUUAAGACUGAAAACAAAAGAAUCAUUGCAUUUACACUUCAUCACAUAAAAAUAAUCACCUAUAUCUGUGGUUUGGGAAAAUGAAUAGAGGUAAAGAAUAAUUUCCUGAAUUAUUUCUGCUAUCAAGUCAGAAAUAAUUCAGGAAAUAUAGUCACAAUAUUUGAGUUCAGAAAUCUGCUUCUUGCCUAAACAUACGUUUCAGCUCAUGAUUUUUACAUUUUGUGUUUUUGUAUUGCUACUUGUAACUUUUGUGCCAAAAGUCCAUCCAAGAAUAAAUUUCAGUAUGUUUCAUUAAAACAUAUUAUAAAAUUAAUAAGGAAGUUUAAAAGUUUACAGGAACAUAACCCUACUUCAUAUAAAGAAACUCUGUGCAUUCUUAAGAAAUUUAGUUUAAUAUUUCUUCAUUUUUCAGAAAUAUGUUACAGCUAGUU